rnacentral:rRNA from 1 species
AACUCGACCCCAGGUCAGGCGGGGGUACCC